rnacentral:rRNA from 1 species
UAUUAUGGCCGUCGUCAGCUCGUGAAAAAAAAUGUUUGGUUAAGUCCCGCAACGGGGGCAACCCUUGUCAUUAGUUCCCAUCAUUUAGUUGGGCCCUCUAGUGAGCCGGCCGUGGAUAACUCGGAGGAAGGUGGGGAUGCCGUCAAUCCAUCAUCCCCCUUAUGUUCUGGGCUCCCCCCGUGCUACAAUGGCUGGUACAGGGAGAAGCAAGUCCGUGGGAAGGAGCAAAUCUCCAAAACCAGUCCCAGUUCGGAUUGUAUUUUCAACUCGGGGGAAUGACCUCUUCUCUUUGUCCCGGUGU